CCUACGGGGGGCAGCAGUGAGGAAUAUUGGUCAAUGGACGAGAGUCUGAACCAGCCAAGUAGCGUGAAGGAUGACUGCCCUAUGGGUUGUAAACUUCUUUUAUAUGGGAAUAAAACGUUCCACGUGUGGGAUUUUGUAUGUACCAUAUGAAUAAGGAUCGGCUAACUCCGUGCCAGCAGCCGCGGUAAUACGGAGGAUCCGAGCGUUAUCCGGAUUUAUUGGGUUUAAAGGGAGCGUAGGUGGAUUGUUAAGUCAGUUGUGAAAGUUUGCGGCGCAACCGUAAAAUUGCAGUUGAAACUGGCAGUCUUGAGUACAGUAGAGGUGGGCGGAAUUCGUGGUGUAGCGGUGAAAUGCUUAGAUAUCACGAAGAACUCCGAUUGCGAAGGCAGUUCACUGGACUGCAACUGACACUGAGGCUCGAAAGUGUGGGUAUCAAACAGGAUUAGAUACCCCGGUAGUC
rnacentral:rRNA from 1 species